rnacentral:rRNA from 1 species
GAUGAACGCUGGCGGCGUGCCUAAUACAUGCAAGUCGAGCGAACGGACGAUAAGCUUGCUUCUCUGAUGUUAGCGGCGGACGGGUGAGUAACACGUGUAUCACCUACUUAUAAGACUGGGAUAACUUCGGGAAACCGGAGCUAAUACCGGAUGAUAUUUUGAACCGCAUGGUUCAAAAGUGAAAGACGGCGUUGCUGUCUCUUAUAGAUGGAUCCGCGCUGCAUUAGCUAGUUGGUAAGGUAACGGCUUACCAAGGCAACGAGGCGUGGCCGACCUGAGAGGGUGAUCGGCCACACGGGAACUGGACCACGGUCCAGACUCCUACGGGAGGCAGCAGUAGGGAAUCUUCCGCAAUGGGCGAGAGCCUGACGGAGCAACGCCGCGUGAGUGAUGGAGGUCUUCGGAUCGUAAAACUCUGUUAUUGGGGAAGAACAUAUGUGUAAGUAACUGUGCACAUCUUGACGGUACCUAAUCAGAAAGCAACGGCUAACUACGUG